UACAGAGGGGGCAAGCGUUGUUCGGAAUUACUGGGCGUAAAGGGCGCGUAGGCGGCCUUCUAAGUCGAACGUGAAAUCCCCGGGCUCAACCCGGGAACUGCGUCCGAUACUGGAAGGCUUGAAUCCGGGAGAGGGAUGUGGAAUUCCAGGUGUAGCGGUGAAAUGCGUAGAUAUCUGGAGGAACACCGGUGGCGAAGGCGACAUCCUGGACCGGUAUUGACGCUGAGGCGCGAAAGCCAGGGGAGCAAAGCGG
rnacentral:rRNA from 1 species